UACGUAGGGUGCAAGCGUUGUCCGGAAUUAUUGGGCGUAAAGAGCUCGUAGGCGGUUUGUCGCGUCUGCUGUGAAAACCUAAGGCUCAACCUUGGGCUUGCAGUGGGUACGGGCAGACUGGAGUACUGCAGGGGAGACUGGAAUUCCUGGUGUAGCGGUGAAAUGCGUAGAUAUCAGGAGGAACACCUGUGGCGAAAGCGGCUCACUGGACCAUAACUGACGCUGAUGCACGACAGCGUGGGGAUCAAACAGG
rnacentral:rRNA from 1 species